rnacentral:lncRNA from 7 species
AAAACUUCCCUAGACUCUGAGCCCGCCAGAGAUGAACCGCGGGUUGAAUUCAGUAUUUGGCGGGGGCUCUUUAACAAAUUCCCUGGUCGAAGGGUUACGGAGCGAGAUCAGCCACCCGAUCUGCUACGGAUGCACCGGAUUAGAUCCCCAACUCUGUGAAACGGUAAGCGGCCCGAGACGUCGGAUCAACGAUCGACGAGCCUGAUCUAUUAUACUCUAAUGGAAUCCUAUGCGCUAGAUCUGAAAUGGAUGGACCGGAUCAAUACAGGCGAACCGGUACGCGUGGACUAAUCACAGCCGUUGAUCUGCAAACCAACGACUGCGGAACGUUCGCCCCAGUCUCCCCUACUCCGUGCGAAUUCCGAUGGUCGACCAAGGCCACACGGCGGCGCGCCAUGGCUGACGAUGGCCAACCCAACCCUCUAGACCACAAACCUCUAAUCUAGGACGAGCUACGCGGUGCGCAAAUGAAAGGAAUCUACAUGCACACCGAACUCACCGAGGACAAGGUCGCACACAGGCAGCACACGGCGAGGCGCGGACGCGGCAGGAAUUCCAGCUCCGGUGAGAAAUUCAAGGCAAAAGCGCGAGUGCUUUCCCCCAAUAGCGCCAAGGGAACCUUCGCCUCACCCGGAAGAAGCCUCCCCACCGACGCAAUUGGCUUUUGAGUUCCACGGCGACGGCGAAUCUCACCCGUGCGGUGCGUGGCAACGCAAUGGUGGUGGUUUUUGGCUUCUCAGGAUGAUUAUGGCUCUAUG